CAGCAGCCACGGUAAUACGUAGGGUGCAAGCGUUAAUCGGAAUUACUGGGCGUAAAGCGUGCGCAGGCGGUUAUAUAAGUCAGAUGUGAAAUCCCCGGGCUCAACCUGGGAACUGCAUUUGAGACUGUAUGGCUAGAGUGUGUCAGAGGGGGGUAGAAUUCCACGUGUAGCAGUGAAAUGCGUAGAUAUGUGGAGGAAUACCGAUGGCGAAGGCAGCCCCCCGGGAUAACACUGACGCUCAUGCACGAAAGCGUGGGGAGCAAACAGGAUUAGAUACCCCUGUAGUCCCUGUCUCUUAUAA
rnacentral:rRNA from 1 species